AGUGAACGCUGGCGGUAGGCCUAACACAUGCAAGUCGAACGGCAGCACAGUAAGAGCUUGCUCUUACGGGUGGCGAGUGGCGGACGGGUGAGGAAUACAUCGGAAUCUACAUUUUCGUGGGGGAUAACGUAGGGAAACUUACGCUAAUACCGCAUACGACCUACGGGUGAAAGCAGGGGAUCUUCGGACCUUGCGCGAUUGAAUGAGCCGAUGUCGGAUUAGCUAGUUGGCGGGGUAAAGGCCCACCAAGGCGAAUAUCCGUAGCUGGUCUGAGAGGAUGAUUAGGCACACUGUAACUGAGACACGGUCCAGACUCCUACGGUGGGCAGCAGUGGGGAAUAUUGGGCGAUGCGCGCAAGCCUGAUCCAGCCAUACCGCGUGGGUGAAGAAGGCCUUCGGGUUGUAAAGCCCUUUUGUUGGGAAAGAAAUGCAGCUGUUUAAUACCCCGCUGUUCUGACGGUACCCAAAGAAUAAGCACCGGCUAACUUCGUG
rnacentral:rRNA from 1 species